AACCAUAGAAACCUGCGGAGUACCUGCGGAAGGAUCGUUACAGAGUUGCAAAACUCCCUAAACCAUUGUGAACGUUACCUAAACCGUUGCUUCGGCGGGCGGCCCGGGUCCUUCCCGGCGCCCAUCGGCCCUCGCGGGCGCCCGCCGGAGGUAAACCAAACUAUUGCAUUGUAUGGCCUCUCUGAGUCUUCUGUACUGAAUAAGUCAAAACUUUCAACAACGGAUCUCAGAUCGGAAGAG
rnacentral:misc_RNA from 1 species